GACGAACGCUGGCGGCGUGCUUAACACAUGCAAGUCGAACGGAAAGGCCCUGCUUUUGUGGGGUGCUCGAGUGGCGAACGGGUGAGUAACCCGUGAGUAACCUGCCCUUGACUUUGGGAUAACUUCAGGAAACUGGGGCUAAUACCGGCUAGGAGCUCCUGCUGCUUGGUGGGGGUUGGAAAGUUUCGGCGGUUGGGGAUGGACUCGCGGCUUAUCAGCUUGUUGGUGGGGUAGUGGCUUACCAAGGCUUGGACGGGUAGCCGGCCUGAGAGGGGGAGCGGCCACAUUGGGACUGAGAUGAGGCCCAGACUCGUACGGGACGCAGCAGUGGAGAAUAUUGCACAAUGGGCGGAAGCCUGAUGCAACAACGCAGCGUGGGGGAUGAGGGCCUGCGGGUUGUAAACCGCUGUCGCCUGUGACGAAGCGUGAAUGACGGUAAUGGGUAAAGAAGCACCGGCUAACUACGUG
rnacentral:rRNA from 1 species